UGGGGAAUAUUGGACAAUGGGGGCAACCCUGAUCCAGCAAUGCCGCGUGUGUGAAGAAGGCCUGAGGGUUGUAAAGCACUUUCAGUGGGGAGGAGGAUUAAUAGGUUAAGAGCUAGUUAAUUGGACGUUACCCACAGAAGAAGCACCGGCUAACUCCGUGCCAGCAGCCGCGGUAAUACGGAGGGUGCAAGCGUUAAUCGGAAUUACUGGGCGUAAAGCGUGCGUAGGUGGUACGAUAAGUUAUCUGUGAAAUCCCUGGGCUCAACCUGGGCAGGUCAGAUAAGACUGUUGAACUAGAGUAUAGGAGAGGGUAGUGGAAUUUCCGGUGUAGCGGUGAAAUGCGUAGAGAUCGGAAGGAACACCAGUGGCGAAGGCGACUACCUGGCCAGAUACUGACACUGAGGCACGAAAGCGUGGGGAGCAAACAGGAUUAGAUACCCAAGUAGUCCCUGAGCGGGCUGGCAAGGCGCAU
rnacentral:rRNA from 1 species